UACGUAGGGUGCAGGCGUUAAUCGGAAUUACUGGGCGUAAAGCGUGCGCAGGCGGUUUCUUAAGUCAGAUGUGAAAGCCCCGGGCUUAACCUGGGAACUGCGUUUGAAACUGGGAGACUUGAGUGUGGCAGAGGGGGGUGGAAUUCCACGUUUAGCAGUGGAAUGCGUAGAUAUGUGGAGGAACACCGAUGGCGAAGGCAGCCCCCUGGGUUAACACUGACGCUCAUGCACGAAAGCGUGGGGAGCAAACAGG
rnacentral:rRNA from 1 species